GCUGGGCACAGUGGCACAUGUCUAUAGUCCCAGCUACCAGGGAUGCUGAGGCUGGAGGGUCACUUGAGUUCAGGACCUCCGGGCUGCAGGAUGCUAUGCCAAUCAGGUGUCCACACUUAAGUUUGGCAUCAGUAUGUGAGCUCCUGGGAGCAGGGGACCACCAGGUUGAGUAAGGAGGGGUGAACUGGCCCAGGUCGGAAAGGGAACAGGUCAAAACUCCCAAGCUGAUCAGUAGAGGGAUCGCAUCUGUGAAUAGUCACUGCACUCACCUGGGCAAUAUAGUAAGACCCUGUCUCU
rnacentral:SRP_RNA from 1 species